ensembl:misc_RNA Metazoa_SRP Metazoan signal recognition particle RNA
GCUGGGCAUGGUGGCACGUGCCUGUAAUCCCAGCUACUUAGGAGGCUGAGGCAUGAGAAUCGCUUGAACUCAGGAGGCAGAGGCUGCAGUGAGCCAAGAUCGCGCCACUGCACUCCAGCCUGGGUGACAAAGCAAGACCCUGUCUCAA